ACGCAUCUCCAGUUUGUGUGUGAAUCAAACCCCAUCCAAUCCUGGCCGUCCGUCUUCAUGACGUCACUGCCGGUCCCUCCAAUGGUGUUAGAUUCACGCACAAACUCGCGAUCCGUCU
rnacentral:pre_miRNA from 1 species